UACGUAGGUGGCAAGCGUUAUCCGGAAUUAUUGGGCGUAAAGCGCGCGUAGGCGGUUUUUUAAGUCUGAUGUGAAAGCCCACGGCUCAACCGUGGAGGGUCAUUGGAAACUGGAAGACUUGAGUGCAGAAGAGGAAAGUGGAAUUCCAUGUGUAGCGGUGAAAUGCGCAGAGAUAUGGAGGAACACCAGUGGCGAAGGCGACUUUCUGGUCUGUAACUGACGCUGAUGUGCGAAAGCGUGGGGAUCAAACAGGAUUAGA
rnacentral:rRNA from 1 species